UACCAAUAUAUUUGCAAACGCUAUCCAACACUUGACAAAGAAAAGCCGAAUGCUUUAGUUUCCGGACUUGGUAACACAAUCCCAAAGAUUGUCUUAAAUGGAUUGUAUAUGUACCUAAAUAGUCUCAUCCUCACAAUCUUCCUAAUGAUAAUGUAUCAUUGAAAGAACAUGUUAGAAAGGUCUGUCAUGAAGAGGACAACACAAACAACCAAUGCUUAAUCCUUUGUUAAAUGAACAAAGGAACUUACGAAGAUU
rnacentral:lncRNA from 1 species